CCUACGGGUGGCAGCAAUGGGGAAUAUUGCACAAUGGGGGAAACCCUGAUGCAGUGACGCCGCGUGAGCGAUGAAGUAUUUCGGUAUGUAAAGCUCUAUCAGCAGGGAAGAAAAUGACGGUACCUGACUAAGAAGCCCCGGCUAACUACGUGCCAGCAGCCGCGGUAAUACGUAGGGGGCAAGCGUGAUCCGGAUUUACUGGGUGUAAAGGGAGCGUAGACGGUCCUGAAAGCCAGAUGUGAAAGCCCGGGGCUCAACCCCGGGACUGCAUUUGGAACUGUAAGGCUAGAGGGUCGGAGAGGCAGGCGGAAUUCCUAGUGUAGCGGUGAAAUGCGUAGAUAUUAGGAGGAACACCAGUGGCGAAGGCGGCCUGCUGGACGAUGACUGACGUUGAGGCUCGAAAGCGUGGGGAGCGAACAGGAUUAGAUACCCCAGUAGUC
rnacentral:rRNA from 1 species